UUAUGGCAUUCUAUUUUCUUUUGUUAUCUUGAGAAGGUAGCCAGUAAUCACAAAACACUUUGGCGUUAAGGAAAAGGUGAAUUUAUACCAUACUAGUACAACAUUCAUCAUCUCCAUACCGAGGUGAACCUUUGUCAUUACUAUAUUUUGCUGUCUCAAUAUGAUAUCUAUUACCCAUAAACACUGAGGAAUAUUAUUGCUGUUUUAAAAUGAAAAAUCUAUCCCAUUAAUAAC